GCCAUCAGAUUCAAUCCAUGCCCAUAUUUCCUUGUUUCACAUGCUCACGUCCCUCUCAAAUCCCUCACCGGAGAACAAACCCCAUCGCACCGAAAAUCACUUCUGACGACAGGGCUCCACCAUUCCAUGAAAACCAAACACCAAAAAUAUCGUCCCACUCUCUUCUACUUCAAUCUAGCAUUGGUUUUUCCUAAAAACCUCUUAAGUCUCUAAAUCGAAGCCAAACAACUAUGACCCCUAGGUAGUGAAAACCAAAAUUAAACGAUACCAAGGAGGAAUCAAAGCCUAAAACUCCAGGGCUUUGAUUCCUCGUACCUAAUUCUACAUGGUGGCAACAAGGUCAAUGCAAAUUAAUAGAGAAAGAAGAAAUCUCACCUAUAAGGCGGAGAUUAGCCCCAGAGUUACAUAAAUUAAAGAAGAAGAUGAUGAAACAAGAACACCAGAGGCUCUGCAAUGAGAUAUGUAGGAAUGAGUUAUAACUAUGUAUGGUGUAUGAAUUACAAGGCUAGUAUAGAAUGCCUUGAUGUGAAACAAAGCUCGUGAAGGUCUUGGUAUGGAACAAGGCAUGGAGCAAGUUAUGGUAUUGUGAGGAUUUUUGAAGACUUGGAUGCAUAAAGAUGGAAUGGCUUAUAAAUGAAUAAAAAUUAGGGACUAGGGUUUAGGAUUAGAUAGUUGACAUUGAUCAACAGUUUGACCAAAAAGUCAAUAGUUGAUCGAAAAUCAACUAGAGGUCAAAAUGAUGUAAUUUUGUUUAGACUUUAAUUUUUUGGAUGUUGUAAUGAAAAGGAUAUCUUUUGGCAAUGGAAUGGCUUUUGUAUUAA